rnacentral:rRNA from 1 species
UACGGGGGGAGCAAGCGUUGUUCGGAUUUACUGGGCGUAAAGGGCGCGUAGGCGGCGUGGUAAGUCACUUGUGAAAUCUCCGGGCUUAACUCGGAACGGUCAAGUGAUACUGCUGUGCUAGAGUGCGGAAGGGGCAACUGGAAUUCUCGGUGUAGCGGUGAAAUGCGUAGAUAUCGGGAAGAACACCCGUGGCGAAGGCGGCUCUCUGGGACGGUACUGACGCUGAGACGCGAAAGCGUGGGGAGCGAACAGG